rnacentral:lncRNA from 1 species
GGAAGUACUGAGAGACCCUUUAAAUCUGAAAUUGACUUGAAAACAUGAGGAGAAUUGAGCUAGGCCAGUCCAGCAUAAACUGCUGGCUAUGUUUCUGUCAGAAUUAGUGUAUCUUCUUGUCAACAGUUAUAGCAGAGAAGUUGAGGAUUAAAUAGCCUGUGGGAAAGAAGUUCUUUCAUUCUAGCUAAUCUUUCGGAAUAGUGCUUCCAUCUGAUGAUUUGGUUCUAGUCUUUUUUUUCUUUUUAAGCAAAUAUAUGUAGAGAAUUUUUCUAUAAAAAUAAAAUCAGUUAUUCAUAUACUACAUUUAAUUUUGCUGUAUUAUUAACAUAUUCUAGUAUAAUGUCAUAUU